GGGCAUGUGGUGCAACUGGUAGACACGUACGCCUCAGAAGCGUAUCUCGCAAGAGUUGAGGGUUCGAGUCCCUCCAUGCCCA
rnacentral:tRNA from 1 species